AUGGCGACUGGCGCACGGGUGAGUAACACGUAUCCAACCUGCCGAUAACUCGGGGAUAGCCUUUCGAAAGAAAGAUUAAUACCCGAUGGCAUAAUUAGACCGCAUGGUCUUAUUAUUAAAGAAUUUCGGUUAUCGAUGGGGAUGCGUUCCAUUAGGCAGUUGGUGAGGUAACGGCUCACCAAACCUUCGAUGGAUAGGGGUUCUGAGAGGAAGGUCCCCCACAUUGGAACUGAGACACGGUCCAA
rnacentral:rRNA from 1 species